rnacentral:rRNA from 1 species
UACAGAGGUCUCAAGCGUUGUUCGGAUUCAUUGGGCGUAAAGGGUGCGUAGGCGGCUCGGCACGUCCGUUGUGAAAUCGCCCGGCUCAACUGGGCGGGGUCAGCGGAUACGGUCGAGCUUGAGCAAGCUAGGGGGCAAUGGAAUUCCCGGUGUAGUGGUGGAAUGCGUAGAUAUCGGGAGGAACACCAGUGGCGAAGGCGGUUGCCUGGGGCUUUGCUGACGCUGAUGCGCGAAAGCGUGGGGAGCGAUCCGG